rnacentral:rRNA from 1 species
CCUACGGUGUGCAGCAGUGAGGAAUAUUGGUCAAUGGCCGGGAGGCUGAACCAGCCAAGUCGCGUGAGGGAAGACGGCCCUACGGGUUGUAAACCUCUUUUGUCAGGGAGCAAGGUGCAGGUCGGGACCUGCUGUGAGAGUACCUUCAGAAAAAGCAUCGGCUAACUCCGUGCCAGCAGCCGCGGUAAUACGGGGGCUGCGAGCGUUCGCCGGAUUUAUUGGGUUUAAAGGGUGCGCAGGCGGAGGCCCGAGUCAGCGGUAAAAUGGCGGGGCUCAACCCCGCUCCGCCGUUGAAACUGUGUGCCUUGAGUGCGCGAAGGGUAGGCGGAAUGCGUGGUGUAGCGGUGAAAUGCAUAGAUAUCACGCAGAACUCCGAUCGCGAAGGCAGCCUACCGGCGCGCAACUGACGCUCAUGCACGAAAGCGUGGGUAUCGAACAGGAUUAGAUACCCGGGUAGUC